UGUUAUGUUCUUUGCCAUGCUAUGUGUGCUAGUGAGGAACAUUCGGGGAUGAAUGUUCUUAAGGGGGGGAGAAUGUAAUACCCGGCUAGACUCCGGUAUCGGAAUUCCUACCGUCCGGUGGAAUCCCGGAUGUCGGAGACCUCUAGAAGGGUGGAACCAUGCUUUCAUAAAAUGUUUUCAUGUUUUUAAUGGUUUUAAAGUAUGAAACUAAAUGAGUUUUUGCAUGAAAAGUCUUUGGAGGAAAACCCAGGUUCGGCCGCCGAACAUGCAUGCGUUUUGGAGGCACGUUAGGCCCCCGAAAGCAUGAGUUAGGAAAGUUCAGGUUCGGCCGCCGAAAGUCAAGUUCGGC
rnacentral:lncRNA from 1 species